GACGAACGCUGGCGGCGUGCUUAACACAUGCAAGUCGAACGGAAAGGCUUCUUUCGGGGGGUACUCGAGUGGCGAACGGGUGAGUAACACGUGAGUAACCUGCCCUUGACUUUGGGAUAACUUCAGGAAACUGGGGCUAAUACCGGAUAGGAGCUCCUGCUGCAUGGUGGGGGUUGGAAAGUUUCGGCGGUUGGGGAUGGACUCGCGGCUUAUCAGCUUGUUGGUGGGGUAGUGGCUUACCAAGGCUUUGACGGGUAGCCGGCCUGAGAGGGUGACCGGCCACAUUGGGACUGAGAUACGGCCCAGACUCCUACGGGAGGCAGCAGUGGGGAAUAUUGCACAAUGGGUGGAAGCCUGAUGCAGCAACGCCGUGUGCGGGAUGACGGCCUUCGGGUUGUAAACCGCUUUCGCUCAUGACGAAGCUUUGUGUGACGGUAGUGGGUAAAGAAGCACCGGCUAACUACGUG
rnacentral:rRNA from 1 species